rnacentral:rRNA from 1 species
AUUGAACGCUGGCGGCGUGCUUAACACAUGCAAGUCGAACGGACCCUUUGGGGUUAGUGGCGAACGGGUGAGUAACACGUGGGUGAUCUGCCCUGCACUUUGGGAUAAGCCUGGGAAACUGGGUCUAAUACCGGAUAGGACUACGCACUGCAUGGUGUGUGGUGGAAAGCUUUUGCGGUGUGGGAUGGGCCCGCGGCCUAUCAGCUUGUUGGUGGGGUGAUGGCCUACCAAGGCGACGACGGGUAGCCGGCCUGAGAGGGUGACCGGCCACACUGGGACUGAGAUACGGCCCAGACUCCUACGGGAGGCAGCAGUGGGGAAUAUUGCGCAAUGGGCGCAAGCCUGAUGCAGCGACGCCGCGUGAGGGAUGACGGCCUUCGGGUUGUAAACCUCUUUCGCCAGGGACGAAGCGCAAGUGACGGUACCUGGAGGAGAAGGACCGGCCAACUACGUGCCAGCCGCCGCGGUAA